rnacentral:rRNA from 1 species
CCUACGGGGGGCAGCAGUGAGGAAUAUUGGUCAAUGGCCGGAAGGCUGAACCAGCCAUGCCGCGUGAAGGUCAGUGCCCUAUGGGCGUUAAACUUCUUUUGUGCGGGAGCAAUAAUGGUCACGUGUGGCCAGACGAGAGUACCGUACGAAUAAGCAUCGGCUAACUCCGUGCCAGCAGCCGGGGUAAUACGGGGGAUGCAAGCGUUAUCCGGAUUUAUUGGGUUUAAAGGGGUCGUAGGCUGUGAGGAAAGGCAGUGGUGAAAUGGCCCCGCUCAACGGGGGGAAGUGCCAUUGAUACUGUCGUGCUGGAAAGCGGAUGCCGUGGGAGGAAUGUGUGGUGUAGCGGUGAAAUGCAUAGAUAUCACACAGAACACCGAUUGCGAAGGCAGCUCACGAAUCCGCGAUUGACGCUGAUGCACGAAAGCGUGGGUAUCAAACAGGAUUAGAUACCCUAGUAGUC